GAUGAACGCUGGCGGCGUGCUUAAUACAUGCAAGUCGAACGGAGACAGUAGCAAUAUUUUCUUAGUGGCGAACGGGUGAGUAACGCGUUGGUGACCUGCCCCGAAGAGGGGGAUAACAGUCCGAAAGGAUUGCUAAUACCCCAUGUGGUCAUAUGGAUUAGAUGCCUAAUGACUAAACGGAUUUAUUCGCUUCGGGAGGGGCCUGCGUCCCAUCAGCUAGUUGGUAAGGUAACGGCUUACCAAGGCGAUGACGGGUAGGGGACCUGAGAGGGUGGCCCCCCCACAAUGGAACUGAAACACGGUCCAUACACCUACGGGUGGCAGCAGUAGGGAAUAUUGGUAAUCUGGGAAACCGGGAACCAGCAAACGCCGCGUGCACGAUGAAGGCCUUCGGGUCGUAAAGUGCUUUUUGAAGGGAUGAGGAAGGACAGUACCUUCAGAAUAAGCCUCGGCUAACUACGUGCCAGCAGCCGCGGUAAU
rnacentral:rRNA from 1 species